AUCAAAGGAUGAUUUUUGAAGUGAUGAUACAACAAUGCUGAAUUAUCGUCCUAUAAUUCUUGAAAGUUGAAACUAGAUUAGUUUCAAAUGCCAGAAGAUCGGCAAGGCUGAGACUAGCAAACUCGAAUAUUUUUGUUGGACUUAAAGUUGAGCUAACCUCCCCAUUACCUGAUAAGCCCCAAGAAGGAAGACUGGAGUUCUUUGUGGAUGGCUCUGCAAAUGCAACACCAGAAUUUCAAGGAAGAGGCGGAUAACAUCUGGAAAAAGGAAUUUUGCAAAUUCAUACAAAGAUCCUAUGCUUCAGCUGAUGUGAUAUUUCCACCAAUCAACAAUUUCUCAUGAAACAUUUUAAUGGCGUUAAAAUAGAUCAUGAGUGUGAAGGGAACCCUUA